rnacentral:rRNA from 2 species
GCCGCCUAAGGUGGGAUAGAUGAUUGGGGUGAAGUCGUAACAAGGUAGCCGUAUCGGAAGGUGCGGCUGGAUCACCUCCUUUCUAAGGAA